rnacentral:rRNA from 1 species
UUAGAGUUUGAUCAUGGCUCAGGAUGAAUGCUGGCGGCGUGCCUAAUACAUGCAAGUCGAGCGAAUGGAUUAAGAGCUUGCUCUUAUGAAGUUAGCGGCGGACGGGUGAGUAACACGUGGGUAACCUGCCCAUAAGACUGGGAUAACUCCGGGAAACCGGGGCUAAUACCGGAUAACAUUUUGAACUGCAUGGUUCGAAAUUGAAAGGCGGCUUCCGCUGUCACUUAUGGAUGGACCCGCGUCGCAUUAUCUAGUUGGUGAGGUAACGGCUCACCAAGGCAACGAUGCGUAGCCGACCUGAGAGUUUGUUU